rnacentral:rRNA from 1 species
UCCGGAUUCACUGGGGUUAAAGGGUGCGUAGGUGGGCUGGUAAGUCAGUGGUGAAAUCUCCAGGCUUAACUUGGAAACUGCCAUUGAUACUAUCAGUCUUGAAUACCGUGGAGGUCAGCGGAAUAUGUCAUGUAGCGGUGAAAUGCUUAGAUAUGACAUAGAACACCAAUUGCGAAGGCAGCUGGCUACACGAAUAUUGACACUGAUGCACGAAAGCGUGGGGACCAAACAGG